rnacentral:tRNA from 1 species
CCGGCUGCGGGCGGCGGUUCACCACCGCUGGUAGGCCCUCGGCGAGGAGCGCCGCGGCCGACGGCGCCGCGGCGCGGCUCCGCCCGCUGGCC